rnacentral:rRNA from 1 species
UGAGUAACACGUAUCCAACCUGCCGUCUACUCUUGGACAGCCUUCUGAAAGGAAGAUUAAUACAAGAUGGCAUCAUGAGUUCACAUGUUCACAUGAUUAAAGGUGUUCCGGUAGACGAUGGGGAUGCGUUCCAUUAGAUAGUAGGCGGGGUAACGGCCCACCUAGUCUUCGAUGGAUAGGGGUUCUGAGAGGAAGGUCCCCCACAUUGGAACUGAGACACGGUCCAA